GGCUGGUCUAAAUGUAGUGGUGUUUACAACUCAUUGAUCACAACCAGUUACAUAUUUCUUUGUUCCUUUUACACUCCAUUGUUUCACUUGACUAGCCUUAA
rnacentral:Y_RNA from 1 species